rnacentral:rRNA from 1 species
AGCUGUCCGGGGUGUAACUGACGCUAAUGCUCGAAAGUGCGGGUAUCAAACAGGAUUAGAUACCCUGGUAGUCCGCACAGUAAACGAUGGAUACCCGCAGUCGGCGACACAAUGUCGGCUGCCAAGCGAAAGCAUUAAGUAUCCCACCUGGGGAGUACGCCGGCAACGGUGAAACUCAAAGGAAUUGACGGGGGCCCGCACAAGCGGAGGAACAUGUGGUUUAAUUCGAUGAUACGCGAGGAACCUUACCCGGGCUUGAAUUGCAGGCGACGGGGCGAGAGACCGCCCUUUCUUCGGACGCCUGUGAAGGUGCUGCAUGGUUGUCGUCAGCUCGUGCCGUGAGGUGUCGGCUCAAGUGCCAUAACGAGCGCAACCCCUGUCUCCAGUUGCCAUCAGGUGAUGCUGGGCACUCUGGAGAUACUGCCAUCGCAAGAUGUGAGGAAGGUGGGGAUGACGUCAAAUCAACACGGCCCUUACGUCCGGGGCUACACACGUGUUACAAUGGGGGACACAGAGGGCCGCCACCGGGUGACCGGGCGCCAAUCCAUCAAAAUCCCUCUCAGUUCGGACUGGAGUCUGCAACCCGACUCCACGAAGCUGG